GUAUAGGCUAUAGACUAUAGUCGACCAAAUCACAAGACUUUUAACCACUCUUCAUGUUCAGCAUGCCAUCUACGGAGAGCAACAUCAGCAGCAGGUGCAGCAUUCGAGCUCUUUGGAUCCUCAACAAUGUCGAUUUCGUCGUCUUCUCCAGAAGGUUUCCUACUGUAAAUCGUCGAUGGCGUGCCGCCUGUAAUGCUCAUAAUGCUCAAAAUGAGAAGGUUGCGAUUGAAAAUGAUGAUGAUAAACCUACUGUGUCGGCUUCACUUCCCUCUGAUUUGGAGUUAUCGGAGGCGUUUUCUAAUCGAAAGAAGAGAGAGGGAUCUGCUCGUGGUUCUGGCAUACGCGUCGCUGAAUCUGUUCAGGGAUCAGAUUCUUGGGUUGAUGACCCAAUUGUGCGUCACAUCAUAAGUCUCUCUAUAAAUCGUGAAGAAGGAGAGGACUACUUGCUAUGGCCAUUAGUUCUUCAUGUAAAGGGACCCUACUGCAUCUUGGUAUUGCCAUUGGUGGAGCCGAAGCAUUUGGAAACAUAUGACAGACUGUAUAAGAGAUCAGACUGUGGAACAGCUGUUGGAAUGGACCCUAAUCUAUCCUCUUUACUGCUCGAUCUUCCAUCUAUCACAGGGGCUUUUAUGGUUGCACAUGUCAUUGGUGACAUAAUCAUGGGGGAUAUUGUUGAACCUGAGAUAGCUGUUAGUGUAUCUCCAUCUGUAGGAGGGCUUCUCGAUUCUCUAACCGGCAGCAUUGGCAUAUCGGGCAUCUCCGCUAGAGGAAAACCAGCUCCUGCAACAGUCGCAGCUUCCCCUGCAUCCCCUGCUUCUCUAGCUGGUUCUGUCAUGUCAGAUGCUCAAAAAGCUGGUGCCAGGCCUCUAGAUAAAGAUGUAUUACAAUCUUUCAUUAGCAGCGCGAUGCCCUUCGGUACUCCUUUGGAUCUCAGCUACUCCAAUCUUUCAGCUAUUCGGAUGAAUGGCUUCUCUUCUUUAGAUGUGCCACCUGCAGAUGUCAAACAACCAGCAUGGAAACCCUAUCUUUACCGAGGAAAGCAGAGAAUGCUGUUCACUAUCUAUGAGACAAUUAAUGCUUCCAUGUAUGACCGUGAUGAGAUCCCUGAUAGCAUUUCGAUCUCAGGCCAAGUUAAUUGUCGAGCAGAACUGGAAGGGUUGCCUGAUGUUUCAUUUCCUUUGACAGGCAUGAGUAAUUCUCGUAUUGAGGUCUUGUCAUUCCAUGCAUGUGUUCAAGUUCCUGAGCAAGGUGUCGAUAAGCAAUCCCUUAUGUUUUCACCACCUUUUGGUAAUUUCACUUUAAUGCGUUACAUGGCAUUCAGCAACCUUGGACCACCAGUCAAGGGAUUUUAUCAGCUGUCCAUGGUUUCAGAAAAUGAAGGUGCCUUUUUAUUCAAAUUAAAACUUAUGGACGGCUAUAAAGCUCCAUUAGCAAUGGAAUUUUGUACCAUAACAAUGCCCUUUCCUCGAAGAAGGGUGGUCUCUUUCAAUGGGACACCAUCUGUUGGAACUGUGUCUGCUACAGAUCACUCAAUCGAAUGGAAAAUUAUAACAAGUGGGAGAGGAGUUUCAGGAAAGAGUGUGGAGGCAACAUUUCCAGGAACAGUAAAAUUUGCUCGCUUACAGACACAAAAAUCUCUUGGUUCAGUGAGAGGGACAACUUAUGAUGAAGACAGUGAUACUGAAAUGGAAAAUUUAAACAAUGGUGUAAAUAUCGAGGAGUAUUUGGAGGAAAAGAUGAGAAAGGAUCUGCCACCAAUUGAUUUAGAGGAGCCAUUUUGUUGGCAGGCUUAUGACUAUGCUAAAGUGUCCUUUAAGAUUAUGGGGGCUUCGUUAUGUGGAAUGUUAAUUGAUGUUAAACAUGUAAGCAUCUAUCCUGCUGUUAAAGCACCUAUUGAGUACUCUACUCAGGUAACCUUGUUUCAGCUAAGCUGGAUUGCGCUCCUUUCUCAAAUGACAUUAUCACAUCAUCAUCUAUUGAAGUUUGGCACUUUAGAUAGGUGAUCUACUCAUCUUGUAGUGUACAAUUUCCCCCUACCAACAUGUCUUGCUCUACAAUAUUACUUCCGGAGAUUAUAUUUUGUGGAAUACAUUGGGAAAAUGCCCUUCUGCUGUGAUUCCUGUUGCGUAAGGACUGAAAUUCAUCUCAACUACUCUGUAUAUGUUAAAUAAAUUUAACAGACCUAGCAAAGUUGCUAGCUGGUGGCAUACAUACUGGACAAGAUUUCUGAUGCAUAUAUGCAGUUGUUGGGGAAAUUUUACUAAGGAUUUGUCUACCUUUAUUGUGAAUUUGUGAUGCAACCGGGAGUUCUAUAUUCUGGCAAUUGCCACUGAUGGAUGGUGAUGAAUAAGAAAGUUCAAGCUCUAUAAUAUCUUUGUAACAGGAACCACUUGCUUAUGAAAAGGUAACGACAUUCUUGUACAGCUAAUUUGAUGAAAUUUUGAGGUGUCCAGCCAAAAGUUUAUUCUAAUGGUUAUCUAUUGUUUUCUUUGAUUGUGAAAGGAUCAAAGAGCAUAACUUUUUUAAAGGGAAUAAAGGGUACUAUUUUCAAUAUCA